AUUGAACGCUGGCGGCAUGCUUUACACAUGCAAGUCGAACGGUAACAGGCCUUCGGGUGCUGACGAGUGGCGAACGGGUGAGUAAUAUAUCGGAACGUACCUUUCAGUGGGGGAUAACGUAGCGAAAGUUGCGCUAAUACCGCAUAUUCUGUGAGCAGGAAAGCAGGGGAUCGCAAGACCUUGCGCUGAUUGAGCGGCCGAUAUCAGAUUAGCUAGUUGGUGAGGUAAAGGCUCACCAAGGCGACGAUCUGUAGCGGGUCUGAGAGGAUGAUCCGCCACACUGGAACUGAGACACGGUCCAGACUCCUACGGGAGGCAGCAGUGAGGAAUAUUGGUCAAUGGAGGCAACUCUGAACCAGCCAUGCCGCGUGUAGGACGAAUGCCCUCUGGGUUGUAAACUACUUUUAUUGGGGAAGAAACCCUCUUACGUGUAAGAGGCUGACGGUACCCAAGGAAUAAGGACCGGCUAACUCCGUGCCAGCAGCCGACGG
rnacentral:rRNA from 1 species